UUUCUCAGUCUGGCCAGCGCACGAGGAAGUGCUAAAAUGCGUUUGUUUCGAUCCUUUCCGCGCGGUUUUGAAGGACCGGAGUCUUUUUGUUUUUGGAACGAGAACGAGCAUUUGAAGAACAAGGUUACGGUUAUGGGUACUUGCGAAUGAUUAUGAUGGGAAUAAGUUCCGAGAAAAAUAGCAAAUAAACGAGCUUUCUUUUCCAUACAGCAGCGAUGGAUAAGAUAGCUAAUUAUCAUGGCUCUACGCUAAGUCACGACAAGGUAUGAUUGACCGACGCCAUCAGUGGGUACAUAAAUGCAUUAACAAUGCAAUUUGAAUUGCCAUUAUCUACUCUUCGCAAGGGUGCUCCAAGCAUGCGUAACUUUUGCAGUCAUUUCUUCCACAUCUGGGAAAUGGUUCUUCUAUUUCGCCGUUUGAUUUUCCAGCAAGUCCGCUCAUCCGUAGCUAAUGAAAUUUGUCACUUCAACCUUCCAGAGGAAGAGUUUGGCGAAAGGAAUCUGUGAGUGAUGCGUUUUUGAAUUCUACUUUAUAAAACCAUUCUGUAUUCUGGUAAUACUAUAUACCCAGCGUCUACUGCUAACUGAAAUU